rnacentral:rRNA from 1 species
AGUGAACGCUGGCGGUAGGCCUAACACAUGCAAGUCGAACGGCAGCACAGGAGAGCUUGCUCUCUGGGUGGCGAGUGGCGGACGGGUGAGGAAUACAUCGGAAUCUACUUUUUCGUGGGGGAUAACGUCGGGAAACUUACGCUAAUACCGCAUACGACCUACGGGUGAAAGCAGGGGACCUUCGGGCCUUGCGCGAUUGAAUGAGCCGAUGUCGGAUUAGCUAGUUGGCGGGGUAAAGGCCCACCAGGGCGACGAUCCGUGGCUGGUCUGAGAGGAUGAUCAGCCACACUGGAACUGAGACACGGUCCAGACUCCUACGGGAGGCAGCAGUGGGGAAUAUUGGACAAUGGGCGCAAGCCUGAUCCAGCCAUACCGCGUGGGUGAAGAAGGCCUUCGGGUUGUAGAGCCCUUUUGUUGGGAAAGAAAUCCAGCUGGCUAAUACCCGGUUGGGAUGACGGUACCCAAAGAAUAAGCACCGGCUAACUUCGUGCCAGCCGCCGCAGUAA